UGCCAGCAGCCGCGGUAACACGGAAGCCCCGAGCGUUGUUCGGAUUCAUUGGGCGUAAAGGGUGCGUAGGCGGCGCGGAAAGUCCGGCGUGAAAGGCAGAGGCUCAACCUCUGGACUGCGUUGGAUACUUCCGUGCUUGAGGACUGGAGGGGAGACUGGAAUUCACGGUGUAGCAGUGAAAUGCGUAGAUAUCGUGAGGAAGACCGGUGGCGAAGGCGAGUCUCUGGACAGAUCCUGACGCUGAGGCACGAAGGCUGGGGGAGCGAACAGGAUUAGAUACCCUGGUAGUCCCAGCAGUAAACGAUGUGAGCUUGAUGUGGGGGGAUUCGACCCCUUCCGUGUCGAAGCUAACGCGAUAAGCUCACCGCCUGAGGAGUACGGCCGCAAGGCUAAAACUCAAAGAAAUUGACGGGGACCCGCACAAGCGGUGGAGUAUGUGGCUUAACUCGAUGCAACGCGAAGAACCUUACCUGGCCUUGACAUGCAUUGUGUCGUCGGUGAAAGCCGGCUAGUCCUGGAAACAGGACGCUUUGCACAGGUGCUGCAUGGCUGUCGUCAGCUCGUGUCGUGAGAUGUUGGGUUAAGUCCCGCAACGAGCGCAACCCUUGUGGUCAGUUACUAACCGGCUUAGCCGGAGGACUCUGGCCAGACUGCCCUGUCAAACGGGGAGGAAGGUGGGGACGACGUCAAGUCAGUAUGGCCCUUAUGGCCAGGGCUGCACACGUACUACAAUGCCCGGUACAAUGUGAACCGAAACCGCGAGGUGGAGGAAAUCGCUCUUGAAAACCGGGCCCAGUUCGGAUUGGAGUCUGCAACUCGACUCCAUGAAGUCGGAAUCGCUAGUAAUGGC
rnacentral:rRNA from 1 species